CUACCCUUGACAUGUCUGGAAUCCCUGAGAGAUUAGGGAGUGCUCGAAAGAGAAUCAGAACACAGGUGCUGCAUGGCUGUCGUCAGCUCGUGUCGUGAGAUGUUGGGUUAAGUCCCGCAACGAGCGCAACCCUUGUCUCUAGUUGCUACGAAAGGGCACUCUAGAGAGACUGCCGGUGACAAACCGGAGGAAGGUGGGGAUGACGUCAAGUCCUCAUGGCCCUUAUGGGUAGGGCUUCACACCGUCAUACAAUGGUGCAUACAGAGGGUUGCCAAGCCGCGAGGUGGAGCUAAUCCCAAAAAAUGCAUCGUAAUCCGGAUCGUAAUCUGNAACUCGACUACGUGAAGCUGGAAUCGCUAGUAAUCGCGGAUCAACAUGCCGCGGUGAAUACGUUCCCGGUUCUUGUACACACCGCCGGUCACACCAUGGGAGUGGGCUUUNCCAGAAGUAGUUAGCCUANCCGCAAGGAGGGCGAUUACCACGGCAGGGUUCGUGACUGGGGUG
rnacentral:rRNA from 1 species